rnacentral:rRNA from 1 species
UGAGCUCCAGAUUGGGACAGAGGAAAGCAGCAUGAUUUAAUGUGAUGCAUUUACUUGUNUGGUGUGUGGGGGUAUUUAAGAGGGAUUUGCAACCAAUGUUUUGAGCCCAGCUUGCUGGUACCCAAACAUUGUUAACAUUUUUUAUYUGGGAUAUUCGAGUACGGCUUACGUGCAUUUUUUGUAUUGAUCUAAGUGCAAGUUACGGUCGCAUGCGACACGUGCUUUUCAUUUAGUUCGGUGCAGUUAAUGCUCUCGUACUCUCCCCCCAUGUAAAAGCCGGUCAUCUAUUUGACCCGUCUUGAAACACGGACCAAGGAGUUUAUCGUGUGCGCAAGUUUUUGGGUGUUAAAAACCUAGAAGCGAAAUGAAAGUAAAUGAUUCUUUAGAGUCUGAUGUGCAAUCUUUUUUCAGAAAAGUGCAUCAUGGCCCCAUUCUAACUGUUUACAGUAGGGUGGCGGAAGAGCGUACGCGGUGAGACCCGAAAGAUGGUGAACUAUUCCUGAGCAGGACGAAGCCAGAGGAAACUCUGGUGGAAGUCCGAAGCGGUUCUGACGUGCAAAUCGAUCGU